GAUGCAAAUGAUGGGAAUUGCGAUCAAAGCAUGAUAAUUUGUGAUUACAGCUUUUUGAAUACUGAUGCAUC